rnacentral:rRNA from 1 species
AUGGCUAUCUCAAAAUCCAACGGAGGUUUGGGAUUCCGGGACCUGGAGCUGUUCAAUGAUGCAAUGCUCGCCAAACAGGCGUGGCGACUAUUGGAUAGGCCAGACAGUCUAUGCGCGCGUGUUCUUAAGGGUCGAUACUACCCAGAUGGAGAUUUCUUGCAGGCAGGAUGCCCUGCUAGCGCCUCCACUACGUGGAAGGCCAUAAUCACUGGC